AAAACACCCAAGUAGCGUAGCAUAAAAGAAAGAAAGAAGAAGAAAGUUAGAAGUGACGAGCGACAAUGAAACUGUCUAUUUUUCUUGCUCUGUUCUUGUUGUUGGGGGAUAUAUCUGCUGCUGAUUAUGAAUUCAUUGCAAAGA
rnacentral:rRNA from 1 species